rnacentral:lncRNA from 1 species
UUAAUAAACAUAAGACUCAAGUGAUUAGAUCAUUCCCACAAUUCGCCCUCCUAUUUAGCAUACUAGAUUCUAUGGGGAUAAGUGGUUCAUCCAUAUGGAGAGCCAAAUCCAAAUCUAUACACCUUAGAGUGAAGAGCAUCUUAUUCUUUCGAGCAAAAUAUUUCUCACACAAUAAUAUUAGAAUAUGAGAAAAAUCAAUAAGAAAAGCAGUACUAGAAAUAAUUACACACA